rnacentral:rRNA from 1 species
CCUACGGGGGGCAGCAGUGGGGAAUAUUGGACAAUGGGGGGAACCCUGAUCCAGCCAUGCCGCGUGUGUGAAGAAGGCCCUCGGGUUGUAAAGCACUUUCAGUGAGGAAGAACGCCUGGUGGUUAAUACCCAUCAGGAAAGACAUCACUCACAGAAGAAGCACCGGCUAACUCCGUGCCAGCAGCCGCGGUAAUACGGAGGGUGCGAGCGUUAAUCGGAAUUACUGGGCGUAAAGCGCGCGUAGGUGGCUUGAUAAGCCGGUUGUGAAAGCCCCGGGCUCAACCUGGGAACGGCAUCCGGGACUGUGAGGCGAGAUGGCAGGAGAGGAAGGGAGAAUCCCCGGUGUAGCGGUGAAAUGCGUAGAGACAGGGAGGAAUAGCAGUGGCGAAGGGGGGCUUCUGGACUGACACUGACACUGGGGUGCGAAAGCGUGGGUAGCAAACCGGCUCAGAGACCCCUGUAGUC